CCUACGGGGGGCAGCAGUGAGGAAUAUUGGUCAAUGGACGAGAGUCUGAACCAGCCAAGUAGCGUGAAGGAUGACUGCCCUAUGGGUUGUAAACUUCUUUUAUAUGGGAAUAAAAUGUUCCACGUGUGGGAUUUUGUAUGUACCAUAUGAAUAAGGAUCGGCUAACUCCGUGCCAGCAGCCGCGGUAAUACGGAGGAUCCGAGCGUUAUCCGGAUUUAUUGGGUUUAAAGGGAGCGUAGGUGGAUUGUUAAGUCAGUUGUGAAAGUUUGCGGCUCAACCGUAAAAUUGCAGUUGAAACUGGCAGUCUUGAGUACAGUAGAGGUAGGCGGAAUUCGUGGUGGAGCGGUGAAAUGCUUAGAUAUCACGAAGAACUCCGAUGGCGAAGGCAGUUCACUGGACUGCAACUGACACUGAGGCUCGAAAGUGUGGGUAUCAAACAGGAUUAGAUACCCUUGUAGUC
rnacentral:rRNA from 1 species